rnacentral:lncRNA from 1 species
CCUUUCAAUACAGACUCUACCAGUGGUGCCUGUGAUCCCAUGACCAUAUCAGAUCCAUCUUCGAAAUCAAGCAGGUAAAUGGUCUAUCCAGAAUUUCUAGUAUAAGUGUUCAUCAGCUGUAUAUGCAAGCAGGUAGGGCAGGUGCGGUCAUUAAUUUACCAGACUGUUCUUUGACUUGGUAUUUCAGUGUCUGGCGUCUGUUGACAGAGUUGACAAGGCAGUUCUAAGCAGCCCCAUUAUGGAUGUCAACUUAAAUCAGGCCAUACUAGGUCUAACAUUCAAAGAUUUGCCUAACCAUUUCCAAGUGGGACACUGACAUGAUCCCUUCUCUCCUCACUACCUUCUUGCAGGCACCUGGCACUCACCAGUUUCCCUGGUGGCUUAUGUCGGGGAUGCAUAAAAUAGUUCCAAUUUCAAACAUUCUCUUGGUCAAUCACACAAACUACCAGAGCCAUUGAAGCACGUACCUUUCAGCCUGUCUCUUGUAUCUCUAAAUGGCACAAAAAUUCUUUUUCAAACUAUGUGUUCUAAGAUUCAGAAUAUAAAGUCACCAUAGUUUAAGGCCCACAGACUAGAAAUAGUUGAGGUUAGAUGUAAAAGGAAAGCAAGUUAUUUUUCAGCCAUGACACUGCUGAAAAGUCAUGUAGGAUGCUGCACAACCAAGGAAAAGCUCAUAUGCAAUGGCUUAACUUAUGAGCUAAACUAACUGCAUUCUUCAUGGAAAACGACUUUUACCUGAAGGACUGACAGUCAUUCGGACCUCUGUAUUUGACACACAUUUUCUUGAAAAUGAAUUAAGUGAGCCUCUCACUUCAAGGAAAACAAAUGACUUAUUUAUUUGUCAAUAUCAAAAGUUGAUCUGUCAAGAAUUAGAAUUUUGGAAAGCUUUCAUCAACAGCUAUGUGACUUAUACAAAUAUGAUAGAUGAACAUUGGGACCUAUGAGUUUGAAUGAGAUCCCCAAGCAGAUAGAAAAGAAGAGGGUUGUGAAAGCGUCCUAGAGGAUGGAGAGGGAAAAGAAAAAGCAGAAAGAGAUUAAAGAUGAGCAGUCAGGGAAGUAGAAGAAGAACCAAAAUAGAGUCAUGGAAGGCAAGAGAGGAAAGAAAUCAAUAACACCAAAGGCUGCAGAGAGCAACCACCAUUUGUCUACACAGAGGACUUGGCCAACAGAGCCUGAAAGGCAGUAAAUGCUGGGUUCUGUUUUUGAGAAAUGCUGAGACAUCUGGCUGGUAGGCCCAAAAGGGAUGUGAGACGGUGGCCUGUUGAAGAAGCAGGAGCAUGGGAGACCCAGCUUGCUCGUUGGUCUUUGUGGAUGAUAGCUCAGGCAAGAUCCAGAACUGAGAUCAGACUUCAGAUCUUCUUGUUUCCGGCCCAGGACUCGAUUCUUAUUGCGUUUCAGAGCUGUGUCUCUUGCUUCUAAUAUUUGAAACAGAUGUUGUGAAAUCUAUAAUUUCCAGCUUUGAAAUGAAUUAAUAUGUUAACCUCCUACUUCUCAGAUGCAUUCUGAAGAAAUAGUACUAAGUGUGACACAAGGUUAGAACAUCAAAAUAUGUAAUCCAACUAACCUGGACCUGCUUCUGCUCUAAGGUUCCUCCAGCAAGGGGUCACAAAUAUUAAUACAAUGUAACUCUGACUCCCAAAAGCCUUUGUGACUAAGUACUUAGGUUCUCACUGAAAACCUCUACUGAGUUCUCUUGAAAGGGUCCCAAGGAAAGGUUUCACAGGCGCUUCUCAAACCAUUGGUGCUGAAGGAGCAGGAUUUCGAAAUCUCCAAUCCAUCACGGACUGAUGCUUUUGUAAAAUGCAAUCAAAGUGGAUAAUUUGAAAAAAACUAAAUGAAUAUAUAAUACAAGUCCAAUAUUUAUGGCUAGAUACAACAAAUAUAAAAUUAAAUUUCAAUAAAUAUUAUCAGAACUAGUGUAACAUAGGAGAUUUUAAAACUGCAGAAACUAUACACUUUGAAAUUGUGCAUAUGUGAGU